GCCGAGGGGGAGGGGGCAGCCAGAGGCGCCGAGCUCGCCUGCGUCAGCGCGGGGGCCCGGCCUCCGAGUCCCUGCGCCGCGCUGGCAGGACCAGCAUGCUCCCUUCCCUGGCCUCAAGGCGCUCUUCGCCAUCUGAGAAGGAAGCAACUGGGGGCACGGUGCCCGCGAGGUGGGGCGCGCGCCACCGACACCUUCGUCCCCCAGUGUAUCCCCGAGCUUGGGGUUAGAGCAGAGAUGAAAGACAAGGAGAAAGGAAACGCCCUUGGGCUGAUGCCCACGCCGGGAAAGCUGUGGCUGACUCUUCGUGGCGCAGGCAUUGGUCCUCAUUCUGCAGGUGAGGAGAGCUGGUUGGCAAGCCCUGGCAGGGGGCCUGGCAGAGAAUGGAUCUUGGACUCGGGAGUCUGGGGCCAGGGUUGGAGGAAGGAGCCCAUGAGAUCACGUGCUGUGCAGUGUGGUGCAGAAACUGCUUGCUGUCUUGCAAAGUGCUGGGCACUGGGUUCAGCAGCUUGCAGCCUUGAACGCUUCUAAUUCCGACAGUAACCCAGUGAUGCAGGUGAGGAAAUGGAGGCACAGAAAAGUUGUCACUUGUCUGACAUCUCAGCUAGUAAGGAAGCCGGGAUUCGAACCCAGGCCAACAGCUCCAGAGAGCUGCUGUGGUUCUGUACCACGGCGACCCGGUGGUUCUCUGGCCCACCCCUGGGAGCGCAGGACCUCUUGCGAAAUGAAGGAAAAGUGCCUAUGAUGCAGCAUCACCUUGACCGGGACCAUGGGCAGCCCUGGGAGCCGCAGGAUGGUCACCAGACUGCAGAAACGGGGAUGAGUAUCUUCUAUUACAUCUCAGUAUUUAGAAGAUGUCUGAGGGCAAGACAUACACCUGUGUCACCUCUUUACAGACAGAAGUGUCAAUUUAUUUUAGAAAGAGGAAGGGUGGGGAGAGGGAGAGAGAGAGAGAACCUAAAGCAGACCCCAUGCUGAGCC